rnacentral:tRNA from 1 species
GGAGGGUAUACUCAUUGGUAGAGUGCCUGCUUAUCAUGCAUGAGGUCCAGGGUUCAAUCCCCAGCACCUCCG